rfam:Plantibacter sp. Leaf314 contig_1, whole genome shotgun sequence.
GCACAGCCCCGAUGGGGUUGCCGGACGAGGGCGCAGUACCCGGAACGCGACAAGACUGACCACU